UGCGUAGGCGGGCUAAUAAGUCAGUGGUGAAAUCUCUCGGCUUAACCGGGAAACUGCCAUUGAUACUGUUAGUCUUGAGUUCGGUUGAGGUAGGCGGAAUGUGUAAUGUAGCGGUGAAAUGCUUAGAUAUUACACAGAACACCAAUUGCGUAGGCAGCUUACUAGACCGACACUGACGCUGAGGCACGAAAGCGUGUGGAGCGAACAGGAUUAGAUACCCUGGUAGUCC
rnacentral:rRNA from 1 species